UACGUAGGGGGCGAGCGUUGUCCGGAAUCAUUGGGCGUAAAGCGCGUGUAGGCGGCCCGGUAAGUCCGCUGUGAAAGUCCAGGGCUCAACCCUGGGAUGCCGGUGGAUACUGUCGGGCUCGAGUCCGGAAGAGGCGAGUGGAAUUCCUGGUGUAGCGGUGAAAUGCGCAGAUAUCAGGAGGAACACCAAUGGCGAAGGCAGCUCGCUGGGACGUGACUGACGCUGAGGAGCGAAAGCAUGGGGAGCGAACAGG
rnacentral:rRNA from 1 species